GUUUGCCAAGUGAGUGUUCACAUAUCUCAUGGGGAUCCAGAGUGAUUUUAAGCAAAAGCAGAUUUAAAUCUUGUUAAACCUGGUCUGGGUUCAAGACCCAGCUCUGACUCUUAGGAUUCCCGUGACUUGUGGUAAAUUAUUUCCUCCUUGUCUGUAAAGUAGGGGUAACCCUAACACUUAGCCAUAGCGCUGUUAUAAGGAUAAAAUAAAUUCAUUCCUUCAGCAAAUAAUUCCUGAGGGGCUCUGAGGCGCUGAACUUUGCACGACACCGGGGUACGGUGAGUGAACGCACAAACAACACACUCAAUGCACUUGAGCUGUUUUUACCCAAAAGCACAUCUGCACAGACUAGGAGUUACACCUAGGAUUUUAAAUAGUUUGAAGCUGCAGAAACGAAGUGAAUUAUUCAUCAGGUCUCCUGGGACCCGCGGAGUUGAAACUGCUGACCACACAACAGUAUCCAGUUUCAGGAGAGCAUUGUUCCACAGAGAGCACAAGCAUACACCUGUUGAUGGAGUCAGCCUGCGGGUUUUCCAUGCUGAUACCAAUAAGGAUUUAUCAUGGAACAAGAUGCAAAAAAUCGAUCCGAUUUCACAAGAUAAAAUACGAAAAAAGCAACUGCUCAUUGCUGGUCUCCUGCAGGAGCUCCAGGCUGUUUAGGAGAAAAGUCAGCAAUGACUGUGCUUUGGGAAUGAAUUUUGUUAAAGCCUUCCCACUAUUGUCAGCAACAAGGAGCUUGGCUUCCAACAUGGUUAUAAUUUUUUUCUUUUUUUGCUUACUUCCUAACUUCUAAUUGCUCUCUGUGACCUACUGAACUUAGAAAAAUAAAUUGCACACACCAUGAAAUAACAACAGCACGUUUCUUUCUGAUCAGGACCCGGCAGCAAGGCUGAGCUGUCUACCACAAGCUCAGAGAGGAAGGGAUUUCUGUUUCUGCAGUGACACAGACAGGACACCUGAGGAAAGGGGUUCAGAGAGUAUAAAAUCCCUUGGCCUCCCCACUGAGCCUUCGAGAAGGCCGGACACUAACUAAGUAGAUCUGUGGAGCUUUCCGAGCUUUGUCUAGAACGGUGCCCCAUUCAAAAUCCAGUCAGGCUCUGGGAAUGGAGCUGCUUGUAUUCUCGCAGUAUUUAUCACCGUGCAACGAUCUGAAUCACUUGUUGAAUGUAUCGUUCCCUUGUGUGCCUUUCACUCUCAGCCUCACUUACGAGAUUCACUUGAACAGUAGAGGCUCAAAACCUAGUUGUCCCCCUCUCUAGUUCUGCGGGUCGAGCGCUGGGCCUUGGCACUAAGAUGCACCCCAACUCUGUCGCCGCUUUCUCCUCACACCCCAGGCAGCGUCUCACUAAGACAGUGAGUUGCCCGGGCUCAGCUCGAGCUGAUUUUUCACUCGGACAGUCCACCUUUCAUCACAUACACACACAUGUCUCAAGAAAAGCUUAAGCCACUGUGGGGAAAGUGGCUCUGAGCCCCGGAAGGUGCAGCAGGAGCCCAGGCUGGGGCGCCCUCUCCGCGCACUCCGUCUUUCGCCACCCGGCGCUGACGGCUCCGGACCGGACGCUUCUCUGCUCGCUCCGGAGGGCAGCCGCGGAUCACCGAUCA
rnacentral:lncRNA from 1 species